rnacentral:rRNA from 1 species
GUGGCAGCCGCCGCGGUAAUACGAAGGGACCUAGCGUAGUUCGGAAUUACUGGGCUUAAAGAGUUCGUAGGUGGUUAAAAAAGUUGGUGGUGAAAUCCCAGAGCUUAACUCUGGAACUGCCAUCAAAACUUUUUAGCUAGGGUAUGAUAGAGGAAAGCAGAAUUUCUAGUGUAGAGGUGAAAUUCGUAGAUAUUAGAAAGAAUACCAAUUGCGAAGGCAGCUUUCCGGAUCAUUACUGACACUGAGGAACGAAAGCAUGGGUAGCGAAGAGGAUUAGAUACCCUCGUAGUCCAUGCCGUAAACGAUGUGUGUUAGACGUUGGAAAUUUAUUUUCAGUGUCACAGUGAAAACAAUAAACACACCGCCUGGGGAGUACGACCGCAAGGUUAAAACUCAAAUGAAUUGACGGGGACCCGCACAAGUAGUGGAGCAUGUGGUUUAAUUCGAAGAUACGCGCAGAACCUUACCAACACUUGACAUGUUCGUCGCGACUCUAAGAGAUUAGAGUUUUCGGUUCGGCCGGACGAAACACAGGUGCUGCAUGGCUGUCGUCAGCUCGUGUCGUGAGAUGUUGGGUUAAGUCCCGCAACGAGCGCAACCCUUACUUUUAGUUGCCAUCAUUUAGUUGGGCACUCUGAAAGAACUGCCAGUGAUAAGCUGGAGGAAGGUGGGGAUGACGUCAAGUCCUCAUGGCCCUUACGUGUUGGGCUACACACGUGCUACAAUGGUAUCUACAACAGGAAGCAAGAUGGCAACAUUAAGCAAAUCCUAAAAAGAUACCUCAGUUCGGAUUGCACUCUGCAACUCGAGUGCAUGAAGCUGGAAUUACUAGUAAUCGCGGAUCAGCGUGCCGCGGUGAAUACGUUCCCGGGUCUUGCACACACCGCCCGUC